GAAAAACUGAUGUUUACCACUAUUUCCACCUCUCCUUAGCAACUCAUUGGAAAGCCAAAAUUUUCUGUAAAGUGAAGCCCUCUCAACAAAACACUCAAAUGGAUUCAUCAAAUCAAACCCCUCAUUCUCAUGUCACUGACGAGUCCGGCAAUCCCGUGCAAUUAACCGUUCAUUUACCUUCCUCAGACCCUAAUUUCGAUUCCAAAUCCAACACAAACCACCCAGAUUUGGUAUGAUCAGAACGUAUAACAUCAGCAGAAUGUAAAUAUCUAAUGUCGCGCAUAUAAAUGAAUCAAACCUAGAGCCACAAAAUUCGUGAAAAAAAAUCCCAAAAAUUAAGUUUUAUCAAGAACAUAAUCCUCAAAAAAUCAAGAAUCCAUACUAUUUUGAAUGAUCAAGCCGUAACAUCAGAAAUCGUACUCACACAUAGAAAUGACAUAAACCCACAAUCACAAAAUUCGUGUAAAAUAAAAAUCAAAACCCUACAAACGGACUGUAUCGACGACAUUCCUCGAAAUAAAACAGAUAAAGUUCCCACAAAUUUCCAUAGGGAAAAAAUUAAUGACAACCCAAAAGUAGCUCAAUUUUCAAAUCAAUUGUAUAAAACUAACCAUUUUGAUUAUUUUCUUCCUGAAUUGGAGUUAAAUCUUCUCCAAAGUCGUCAUCUUUUUCUUCUUCGAUUUCAACCUCUUUUCCGACCUCUUCAACUUCUUCGUACUCCAUUUCGACAUCAUCGUCAAUUUCGGUGGUUAAAGUAGAGGUGGUUGCUGACAGUGGAUCAUUCACCGCAGCAAAUUUAUUUGGGGGUGGGGUGGGGUGGGGUUGGGUGGGGGAAGAAGAAGAUGA
rnacentral:lncRNA from 1 species